AUAAAUUAUUUUUUGUAAAAAAAAUAUUAAAAAAUCUGUUCUUAUCAGUUUAAUAUCUGAUACGUAUCGGGGGACUACAUAUUAAAUGUAUUUUUCGAACAGGGAGUCGGAAAUGGGGCUUGCUCCGUCCGCUCCACGCAUCGACCCGGUAUUGCAGUACCUCCGGGAACGGUGCAACACUU
ensembl:snRNA U2 U2 spliceosomal RNA